rnacentral:rRNA from 1 species
GACGAACGCUGGCGGCGUGCCUAAUACAUGCAAGUCGAGCGAACAGACGAGGAGCUUGCUCCUCUGACGUUAGCGGCGGACGGGUGAGUAACACGUGGAUAACCUACCUAUAAGUCUGGGAUAACUUCGGGAAACCGGAGCUAAUACUGGAUAAUCUAUUGAAGCGUAUGGUUCAAUUGUGAAUGACGGUUUUGGUGUUACUUAUAGAUGGAUUCGUGCCGCAUUAGCUAGUUGGUAAGGUAACGGCUUACCAAGGCUACGAUGCGUAGCCGACCUGAUAGGGUGGUCGGCCACACUGGAAGUGAGACACAGUCCAGACUCCUACGGGAGGCAGCAGUAUGGAAUGUUCCGCAAUGGGCGGAAGCCUUACGGAGCGACGCCGCGUGUGUGAUGAAGAUCUUCGGUUCGUGAAACCCUGUUAUUAGGGAAGAACAAAUGUCUAAGUAACUGUGCACUUCGUGACGGUACCUGGUCAGAAAGCCACGGCUAACUACGUG